rnacentral:rRNA from 1 species
AGAGUUUGAUCAUGGCUCAGAUUGAACGCUGGCGGCAGGCCUAACACAUGCAAGUCGAGCGGUAGCACAGAGAGCUUGCUCUCGGGUGACGAGCGGCGGACGGGUGAGUAAUGUCUGGGAAACUGCCUGAUGGAGGGGGAUAACUACUGGAAACGGUAGCUAAUACCGCAUAACGUCGCAAGACCAAAGUGGGGGACCUUCGGGCCUCAUGCCAUCAGAUGUGCCCAGAUGGGAUUAGCUGGUAGGUGGGGUAACGGCUCACCUAGGCGACGAUCCCUAGCUGGUCUGAGAGGAUGACCAGCCACACUGGAACUGAGACACGGUCCAGACUCCUACGGGAGGCAGCAGUGGGGAAUAUUGCACAAUGGGCGCAAGCCUGAUGCAGCCAUGCCGCGUGUGUGAAGAAGGCCUUCGGGUUGUAAAGCACUUUCAGCGGGGAGGAAGGCGGUGAGGUUAAUAACCUCACCGAUUGACGUUACCCGCAGAAGAAGCACCGGCUAACUCCGUGCCAGCAGCCGCGGUAAUACGGAGGGUGCAAGCGUUAAUCGGAAUUACUGGGCGUAAAGCGCACGCAGGCGGUCUGUCAAGUCGGAUGUGAAAUCCCCGGGCUCAACCUGGGAACUGCAUUCGAAACUGGCAGGCUAGAGUCUUGUAGAGGGGGGUAGAAUUCCAGGUGUAGCGGUGAAAUGCGUAGAGAUCUGGAGGAAUACCGGUGGCGAAGGCGGCCCCCCUGGACAAAGACUGACGCUCAGGUGCGAAAGCGUGGGGAGCAAACAGGAUUAGAUACCCUGGUAGUCCACGCUGUAAACGAUGUCGAUUUGGAGGUUGUGCCCUUGAGGCGUGGCUUCCGGAGCUAACGCGUUAAAUCGACCGCCUGGGGAGUACGGCCGCAAGGUUAAAACUCAAAUGAAUUGACGGGGGCCCGCACAAGCGGUGGAGCAUGUGGUUUAAUUCGAUGCAACGCGAAGAACCUUACCUGGUCUUGACAUCCACAGAACUUAGCAGAGAUGCUUUGGUGCCUUCGGGAACUGUGAGACAGGUGCUGCAUGGCUGUCGUCAGCUCGUGUUGUGAAAUGUUGGGUUAAGUCCCGCAACGAGCGCAACCCUUAUCCUUUGUUGCCAGCGGUUAGGCCGGGAACUCAAAGGAGACUGCCAGUGAUAAACUGGAGGAAGGUGGGGAUGACGUCAAGUCAUCAUGGCCCUUACGACCAGGGCUACACACGUGCUACAAUGGCAUAUACAAAGAGAAGCGACCUCGCGAGAGCAAGCGGACCUCAUAAAGUAUGUCGUAGUCCGGAUUGGAGUCUGCAACUCGACUCCAUGAAGUCGGAAUCGCUAGUAAUCGUAGAUCAGAAUGCUACGGUGAAUACGUUCC